UAUUGGGCAAUGGGCGAGAGCCUGAUCUCGCGAUGCCGCGUGUGUGAAGAGGGUCUCUGGAUAGUAAAGCACUGUAAGUUGGGAGGAAGGGCAGAAAGGUAAUACCCAGCGGUUUUGAGGUGACAGCCAGAAUAAGCACCGGGGAACUCUGCGCAAGAAGCCGCGGUAAAACGAAGGGUGCAAACUUUAAUCGGAAUUACUCGGCGUAAAGAACGCGUAGGUGGUUUGUUAAGUUGGAAGGGAAAGCCCCGGGCUCACCCUGGAACCUGCUUUCAAAACUGGCAAGCUAGAGUAUGGAAGAGGGUGGUGGAAUUUCCUGUGUAGCGGUGAAAUGCGUAGAUAUAGGAAGAAACACCAGUGGCGAAGGCGACCACCUGGGCUAAUACUGACACUGAGGUGCGAAAGCGUGGGGAGCAAACAG
rnacentral:rRNA from 1 species